rnacentral:rRNA from 1 species
UGGGGAAUAUUGCACAAUGGGGGAAACCCUGAUGCAGCGACGCCGCGUGAGCGAAGAAGGUUUUCGAAUCGUAAAGCUCUGUCCUAUGAGAAGAUAAUGACGGUAUCAUAGGAGGAAGCCCCGGCUAAAUACGUGCCAGCAGCCGCGGUAAUACGUAUGGGGCGAGCGUUGUCCGGAAUUAUUGGGCGUAAAGGGUACGUAGGCGGUCUAUUAAGUCAGGUGUGAAAGCGUGAGGCUUAACCUCAUUAAGCACUUGAAACUGAUAGACUUGAGUGAAGGAGAGGAAAGUGGAAUUCCUAGUGUAGCGGUGAAAUGCGUGGAUAUUAGGAGGAAUACCGGUGGCGAAGGCGACUUUCUGGACUUUUACUGACGCUCAGGUACGAAAGCGUGGGGAGCAAACAGG